rnacentral:rRNA from 1 species
UACGUAGGGUGCAAGCGUUGUCCGGAAUUAUUGGGCGUAAAGGGCUCGUAGGCGGUUUGUCGCGUCGGGAGUGAAAUCCACUGGCUUAACUGGUGGCUUGCUUUCGAUACGGGCAGACUGGAGGUAUGCAGGGGAGAACGGAAUUCCUGGUGUAGCGGUGAAAUGCGCAGAUAUCAGGAGGAACACCGGUGGCGAAGGCGGAUCUCUGGGCCAUUACUGACGCUGAGGAGCGAAAGCGUGGGGAGCGAACAGG